CAGAUCAAGUCAGGCAGCUCUUAAAAGACUAGUCUCUAGCAGCCACAUACUGCCUCAGGAUCUCUGAAGAGAAAAACCUUGAGCAGGGUGGUGGUGGAGGGGUGAGUUAAACAAAGACAUAAAAUGAGAAUGACUGAAAAAUGAGAGGACAGACAGAAAGAAUAAAUGAAAAACUAAAUUAAAGAGAAAGGCAGAGAUAAACAGGACCGGAAAGAAGAAAUUAAGGAACAAGAAGUUAAAGACUAGCGCCUCAGUCCAGCUAGUUUGUCAUGAGUACACUUCAUUGAAACCAGUGGACAAGUCAGUCAUGAGCAUCCGGUAGUAUGGGCUAUUUGAAUGCCAUAUAUCUGGAACAAUCUUGUAUUUUCUGGAUAACAGAAAAAGGAACUUUAGAGGGCAAUAUUGAAUGAGGAUAACAAUUAUAAUCUUCAGUGGCCUCUGGAAUGUCUGUAUCAGCAGUUGUGAGAAUUGUAGAGUUAGAUCUUGUAUUAAAAAGGCUUCAGUUACCUGACUGGAUUUGAUCUCGAGGGUGUGUGGUUCUGAAUAAAAAAAAAUAGUGUCCUGAUUUCAGAUAUUUGCAUGUAUAUUGUCUUAUUUUUGGUUCUGAGAAGAGGUAGACAAGCUC